AUGCUACAACCGGCAUCGUAUUUUGCUACUACCGGUGUUGCAUUUUAUUACAUCGCACAUGGCUUCAUGAUUUUUGCUACAACUGGCCACACAAAAAGCUGCGUCCGGCGACGUGAUUUGCUGCAACGGCCAUGGCGAAGUUCGAUCGCACAUGGUGCACCGGCGAGCAGCUCCGACGAGCAUGCAGGCGAGCGCGCCGACGAGCAUGCAGGCGAGCGGCGGCUUCGGCGAGGAAGCCGACGAGCAGGCCGACGAGCAGCUCAGGCGAGGAAGCUGACGAGCAGGUCCGGCGAGCGGCUCCGACGAGCGCGCCGACGAGCAGCUCCAGCGAGCGGCUCUGACGAGCGCGCCGACGAGCGGCUCCGGCGAGCAAGCUACCGACGGCAACGAGCCUGUACGUGA
rnacentral:rRNA from 1 species